UACAGAGGUCCCAAGCGUUGUUCGGAUUCAUUGGGCGUAAAGGGUGCGUAGGUGGCGCUGUAAGUCGGGUGUGAAAUUUCGGAGCUUAACUCCGAAACUGCAUUCGAUACUGCGGUGCUUGAGGACUGGAGAGGAGACUGGAAUUCAUGGUGUAGCGGUGAAAUGCGUAGAGAUCGGCAGGAACACCCAGGGGGAAACCGAGUCGACUGGGCAGCACCUGACGCUGAGGUGCGAGAGCGUGGGGAGCGAACCGG
rnacentral:rRNA from 1 species